rnacentral:rRNA from 1 species
CCCUUAGAUGUUCUGGGCUGCACGCGUGCUACACUGAUAUUGCCAAUAUGUCAUUCUUAUCCGAAAUGGAUUGGGUAAUCAAGUAAUGAAAUUUCAUGCUUGGAAUCGGUAAUUGCAAUUUUAUCGUGAACGAGGAAUUCCUAGUAAGCACUAGUCAUCAGCUAAUGUUGAUUUGUCCCUGCCCUUUGUACACACCGCCCGUCGCUACUACUGAUUGGGUGUUCAAGUGAGAUGCUUAGACCCUUGUUGCAUGGUUCAUUAUUGUGCUCCGAAAGGAAAAAGUUUCAAGCUUGAGUGUCUAGAGGAAGUAAAAGUCGUAACA